rnacentral:rRNA from 1 species
UACGAAGGGGGCUAGCGUUGCUCGGAAUCACUGGGCGUAAAGGGUGCGUAGGCGGGUCUUUAAGUCAGGGGGGAAAUCCCAGAGCUCAACUCUGGAACUGCCUUUGAUACUGGGUGUCUUGAGUGUGAGAGAGGUAUGUGGAACUCCGAGUGUAGAGGUGAAAUUCGUAGAUAUUCGGAAGAACACCAGUGGCGAAGGCGACAUACUGGCUCAUUACUGACGCUGAGGCUCGAAAGCGUGGGGAGCAAACAGG